GACGAACGCUGGCGGCGUGCUUAACACAUGCAAGUCGAGCGGUAAGGCCCUUUCGGGGGUACACGAGCGGCGAACGGGUGAGUAACACGUGGGUGACCUGCCCUCAGCUCUGGGAUAAGCCUGGGAAACUGGGUCUAAUACCGGAUAUGACUCCAUGACGCAUGUUGUGGGGUGGAAAGCCUUGUGCGGCUGAGGAUGGGCCCGCGGCCUAUCAGCUUGUUGGUGGGGGAUGGCCUACCAAGGCGACGACGGGUAGCCGGCCUGAGAGGGCGACCGGCCACACUGGGACUGAGACACGGCCCAGACUCCUACGGGAGGCAGCAGUGGGGAAUCUUGCGCAAUGGGCGAAAGCCUGACGCAGCGACGCCGCGUGA
rnacentral:rRNA from 1 species